GCACCGGUGGUGUGUGGCACACCCGCUGAUAAAUUAUGUUGGUCGUGUAAACGACGGCGAGUUGGGGUUCGAUUCCCCACCGGUGUA